AUGGAAAUAGAGCGUUGGCGUUUUGCGAGUGGGAUAGGGUUCAAGAGAAUACGUUGUUUCAGUUUUUCUUGCAGCGCCGCUACUUCCACCGUCUUCGUCCGUUUUUGUUCUGAUCUCCUUCACGAUCCACUCCGCCCUCAAAGCUUUGAUCUCCUUCAUAAUUCCGCUAAUCACCUUCGAUGCGGCAUCAUCACCUCAACAUCUCCACGAUGUCAUUUUCCAUCAACAUCGUCAUUCAACUUUGAUGCGGCGGUAUCAAGCUCGACUUCACCUUCCACUUUGAAGUUUCAAUUCAAGAGCUCGCUUCGGUUGUUGAGGAAGUAUGCUUGUGGUGUAAAGAUGAUGAUGAUAGAUAUUGAGGAUUUUGAUGCGAUUUGCGGAAGAUCAAGGUUGAAGAGAACCCUGAGGAUUGAAGACGAAGAUGCUUGA